rnacentral:tRNA from 1 species
ACCUGGGUGGCUCAGUUGGUUGAGCAUCUGACUUUGGCUCAGGUCAUGAUCUCAUGGUUUGUGGGUUUGGGCCCCACAUCAGGCU